GAUGAAGAACGUAGCGAAAUGCGAUAAGUAAUGUGAAUUGCAGAAUUCAGUGAAUCAUCGAGUCUUUGAACGCACAUUGCGCCCCCUGGUAUUCCGGGGGGCAUGCCUGUCCGAGCGUCAUUGCUGCCCUCAAGCACGGCUUGUGUGUUGGGCCGUCGUCCCCCUCCUAGGGGACGGGCCCGAAAGGCAGCGGCGGCACCGCGUCCGGUCCUCGAGCGUAUGGGGCUUCGUCACCCGCUCCGUAGGCCCGGCCGGCGCUUGCAGACGACCAUCAAUCUCUUUCUCCAGGUUGACCUCGGAUCAGGUAGGGAUACCCGCUGAACUUAAGCAUAUCAAUAAGCGGAGGA
rnacentral:misc_RNA from 1 species